AAUAUAUACUUAUAAUUUCUUGACCCAUACAUGGACUUUAUAUAUUAUUUUAUUUUAAUUACAAUUACAAUAUAAAUGUUGAACUUUUAGCUUAAAGGUACAAUUUGUAAGAUAUUUGCAGUAAAAUAUCCAAAAACCACUAGGCUAGUGUUAUAUAUUUUGUCCAGCUGAUUACUAACAAUAUCUCUAAUGUUUUCAACAACUUGUAAAUCAUGAGAAAAUUCCCAUUCUAAACAGUGACACGGAGCAAUGCAGUCGCCUGUCAAUGACGUUAGUUCCCCUUUGUUACCGUCUUUACUGACGUAGAAACCACAUGACAACAGUGUUGUAGACAAAUGCGGUAGUAGUGUCUAGCGUCCAGCAAACUUGCUUCAAGCAGUUCCUUAUUUACUUCUUCUUGCACGUUUUAUGGUGGAUUGUGUUACUUAUUUAUGGAACAUAAUUAGUGUUUACCGUCUGCCGCUGGUUCUGUCAACAAGGACAGCACCCGUAAAUAUAAGCAUACGGGCCAACCAAACGACCCAAGAAGAGUUUGGGACAAGAGGAGAGAAAGAGCGAGGAUUAAUAUCGGUGUUGCAAUUUCUAAUUGGAGAGAGCUUUGCGACAAACCUCAACUAGAAAAAGAUGCCGAUCUCGCUUGUGUUUUACUCGACAGCACAGGUACGGAAAGCGCCAGACGUUCCCCAGACCCACGGCGAACCCCACACAAGACAUCAUGAAGUCCAUCUGUCUGGUCCACGUCUCUCGCUCGGGGAAGCCCUGCCUCUUCUCCGCUUCCGCCGCCGAUAUGGCUCCGGUGGCGGCUGAUAUGGGCCCGCCGUUGAGGGUCCCAUUGACGUCUUGAUGCGCGUUUCCAUUGGGAAUGAGAUGGCCCUUCUUCUCCUCCACCAGGACCGUGUUCAGGGCGCAGCAGUCUGCGUCCAGAGAGGAUUUCUCCAUCUCACGUGUAAACAAAGCAAACGAACCUCCUCACGAGACUCGAGAAGGGCUUAAAUCAGCAGUCAGAAAUAAAUAUUUGAUCUCUUAUUGUU